CCUACGGGGGGCAGCAGUGAGGAAUAUUGGUCAAUGGCCGGAAGGCUGAACCAGCCAUGCCACGUGAAGUUCAGUGCCCUAUGGGCGUUAAACUUUUUUUGUGCGGGAGCAAUAAUGGUCACGUGUGGCCAGACGAGAGUACCGUACGAAUAAGCAUCGCCUAACUCCGUGCCAGCAGCCGCGGUAGUACGGGGGAUGCAAGGGUUAUCCGGAUUUUUUGGGUUUAAAGGGUGCGUAGGCUGUGAGGUAAGUCAGCGGUGAAAUGCCCCCGCUCAACGGGGUGAAGUGCCAUUGAUACUGCCUUGCUGGAAUGCGGAUGCCGUGGGAGGAAUGUGUGGUGUAGCGGUGAAAUGCAUAGAUAUCACACAGAACACCGAUUGCGAAGGCAUCUCACGAAUCCGCGAUUGACGCUGAUGCACGAAAGCGUGGGUAUCAAACAGGAUUAGAUACCCGAGUAGUC
rnacentral:rRNA from 1 species